UUAAAUUGAAGAGUUUGAUCAUGGCUCAGAUUGAACGCUGGCGGCAGGCCUAACACAUGCAAGUCGAACGGUAACAGGAAUCAGCUUGCUGAUUCGCUGACGAGUGGCGGACGGGGGAGUAAUGUCUGGGAAACUGCCUGAUGGAGGGGGAUAACUACUGGAAACGGUAGCUAAUACCGCAUAACGUCGCAAGACCAAAGAGGGGGACCUUCGGGCCUCUUGCCAUCGGAUGUGCCCAGAUGGGAUUAGCUAGUAGGUGGGGUAACGGCUCACCUAGGCGACGAUCCCUAGCUGGUCUGAGAGGAUGACCAGCCACACUGGAACUGAGACACGGUCCAGACUCCUACGGGAGGCAGCAGUGGGGAAUAUUGCACAAUGGGCGCAAGCCUGAUGCAGCCAUGCCGCGUGUAUGAAGAAGGCCUUCGGGUUGUAAAGUACUUUCAGCGGGGAGGAAGGGA
rnacentral:rRNA from 1 species